UGCAGUAUGCCUCACCCCCCUGGGGGGGCUGGGGAGCCUGGGCACGGGGGCAUGUCUGGGCUGCAAGAUAGGCAUCGGUAUCCACAGAAUUGGCCCGCAAACACCCCAGCCCCCUCCGCCCCGUCCCGGAUGUCAGAAAAUUUCCCGGGACACGGUGGGCCCACCGGGGCCCAUUUUCGGAAAAAUUCAAAAAUGGAGCAUGGGCAUCGCCCUUGCUUUAGGCAUACAUGGGGCUUUAUUUUCUUAUUGUAGGUGAGGC
rnacentral:lncRNA from 1 species